AUGUCCAUCCAUUUUUGCUUAGUAUUAUCGAAUAUUCGAAUGAUAUUCAUAAAAGAGCUAGUGACUGGUCAUUUGUUUCUUUUGCAGAAAAGUGCGCAAAGGCACUAUAAACUUCGAGAUUUAGACUGUGAGGCUUGUGACAAGAGACAAGGGCAUGAAAGAAAGACGAGGGACCCGGGCGAGAAGAAAAGAAGUUACCAAGGGCAAGCUGAAGAAGAGGAGGGACCUUAUUGUGAAGAAACAAGAAAGCAUGAGGGUCAAUGUGAAAAUGUCCAGAUCAGCCGUGAGGGGAUCAAAAUCCCUAGCUCAUCACUGAUCCCCUUUGGGAGCCUAGCAUCUCCAUCUCUCUCCCCCUCACCACUUCUUCUCUCACCUCCGGCUGCCGCCGCGGCCAGGCCAUCGUGGCGGCGCGCCUCCGCGACCUCGCUGCUCCACAUCACCCAUCCAUCCACCAUCAUCUCGCACCACCGCGCUACCCAAUCAGCACCAUACCAUCCAACCACCACUCCGUCUUCGCCACCAUCACCUUGCACGCUCCACUUCGUUACCACGCCUAGCGCGCCCGACCAGACGGGCGUCUGGAUCCCCGCGCCACCUGCUGUUGCUCUCUCCCUCUCUUCGCUGCUCCUCCCCCCGUCUCCACUUCCUCUGCUUCUCUUCCUUCUUCUCCUUUGUGGAAGGAGAGAUUUGCAAUACAAUGAACGUUGUAUUGAUGGGGUGCUGGUGCACGUAUAUAUAAUACAAGGGAAGGCCUCUACCCCAACUAUACAAGACUAG
rnacentral:rRNA from 1 species